UAAGGGAAGCGAUUCCGGCUACGGAUGGGCAUGCGGCGCAUUAGCUAGUCGGCGGGGUAACGGCCCACCGAGGCGACGAUGCGUAGGGGUUCUGAGAGGAAGGUCCCCCACACUGGUACUGAGACACGGACCAGACUCCUACGGGAGGCAGCAGUGAGGAAUAUUGGUCAAUGGGCGAGAGCCUGAACCAGCCAAGUCGCGUGAGGGAAGACGGUCCUAUGGAUUGUAAACCUCUUUUGUCGGGGAGCAAAAAGGCCUCGUGAGGCCACAAGCGAGAGUACCCGAAGAAAAAGCAUCGGCUAACUCCGUGCCAGCAGCCGCGGUAAUACGGAGGAUGCGAGCGUUAUCCGGAUUUAUUGGGUUUAAAGGGUGCGUAGGCGGACUGGAAAGUCAGCGGUAAAAUCGAGAGGCUCAACCUCUUUCCGCCGUUGAAACUGUCGGUCUUGAGUGGGCGAGAAGUAUGCGGAAUGCGUGGUGUAGCGGUGAAAUGCAUAGAUAUCACGCAGAACUCCGAUUGCGAAGGCAGCAUACCGGCGCCCGACUGACGCUGAGGCACGAAAGCGUGGGUAUCGAACAGGAUUAGAUACCCUGGUAGUCCACGCAGUAAACGAUGAAUACUAAUUGUCCGGUCAGAAUGAUGACUGG
rnacentral:rRNA from 1 species